UGGGGAAUAUUGCACAAUGGGCGCAAGCCUGAUGCAGCCAUGCCGCGUGUGUGAAGAAGGCCUUAGGGUUGUAAAGCACUUUCAGCGAGGAGGAAGGCGUUGCAGUUAAUAGCUGCAGCGAUUGACGUUACUCGCAGAAGAAGCACCGGCUAACUCCGUGCCAGCAGCCGCGGUAAUACGGAGGGUGCAAGCGUUAAUCGGAAUUACUGGGCGUAAAGCGCACGCAGGCGGUUUGUUAAGUCAGAUGUGAAAUCCCCGAGCUUAACUUGGGAACUGCAUUUGAAACUGGCAAGCUAGAGUCUUGUAGAGGGGGGUAGAAUUCCAGGUGUAGCGGUGAAAUGCGUAGAGAUCUGGAGGAAUACCGGUGGCGAAGGCGGCCCCCUGGACAAAGACUGACGCUCAGGUGCGAAAGCGUGGGGAGCAAACAGG
rnacentral:rRNA from 1 species